rnacentral:rRNA from 1 species
GAUGAACGCUGGCGGCGUGCCUAAUACAUGCAAGUCGAGCGAACAGACGAGGAGCUUGCUCCUCUGACGUUAGCGGCGGACGGGUGAGUAACACGUGGAUAACCUACCUAUAAGACUGGGAUAACUUCGGGAAACCGGAGCUAAUACCGGAUAAUAUAUUGAACCGCAUGGUUCAAUAGUGAAAGACGGUUUUGCUGUCACUUAUAGAUGGAUCCGCGCCGCAUUAGCUAGUUGGUAAGGUAACGGGUUACCAAGGCAACGAUGCGUAGCCGACCUGAGAGGGUGAUCGGCCACACUGGAACUGAGACACGGUCCAGACUCCUACGGGAGGCAGCAGUAGGGAAUCUUCCGCGAUGGGCGAAAGCCUGACGGAGCAACGCCGCGUGAGUGAUGAAGGUCUUCGGAUCGUAAAACUCUGUUAUUAGGGAAGAACAAAUGUGUAAGUAACUAUGCACGUCUUGACGGUACCUAAUCAGAAAGCCACGGCUAACUACGUG